rnacentral:rRNA from 1 species
UCGCCCCUACGGGGCGCAGCAGUGGGGGAUAUUGCACAAUGGGGGAAACCCUGAUGCAGCGACGCCGCGUGGGCGAAGAAGUAUUUCGGUAUGUAAAGCCCUAUCAGCAGGGAAGAAGAAAUGACGGUACCUGAGUAAGAAGCACCGGCUAAAUACGUGCCAGCAGCCGCGGUAAUACGUAUGGCGCAAGCGUUAUCCGGAUUUACUGGGUGUAAAGGGAGCGCAGGCGGC